rnacentral:rRNA from 1 species
GCGGAAGGAUCAUUGUCGAAACCUGCCCAGCAGAGCGACCCAGCGAACAUGUUUAACAUGAUUGGGGAUGGGUCGAAAGCCCCUUCCCCAAGCCGAGGAGGCGCUCCAUCCCGGUGGAGCGCCNAUCNCCGGCACAAUAACGAACCCCGGCGCGGUCUGCGCCAAGGAACAUGGAUACAAGUGUGCCCUUCCUUGCCCGGUUCGCUGGGCAAUGAGGUGGCACCAAGUCGUAUAUAACAUUAAACGACUCUCGGCAACGGAUAUCUCGGCUCUCGCAUCGAUGAAGAACGUAGCGAAAUGCGAUACUUGGUGUGAAUUGCAGAAUCCCGUGAACCAUCGAGUCUUUGAACGCAAGUUGCGCCCGAAGCCUUUAGGUCGAGGGCACGCCUGCCUGGGCGUCACGCAUCGCGUCUCCCCCAACCCACCAAGCGUGGGAGGGGCGGAGGAGGAUGGCCUCCCAUGCCUCACCGGGCGUGGAUGGCCUAAAUAGGGAGCCCUCAGUUACGAGAUGCGGGCGAUUGGUGGCCUAAUAUAGGAUGCUUUGCGCCCCGCACCACGUAGCUCUUGAGGUCUCGAANGANCCUUAGUUGUCUGCCCUAACGGGUGACAAAACCGUUGCGACCCCNGGUCA